rnacentral:rRNA from 1 species
GACAGAGGUGCCGAGCGUUAGGCGGAAUCACUGGGCUUAAAGCGUGUGUAGGCGGCUCGUUAAGUACCUUGUGAAAUCCCACGGCUCAACCGUGGAACUGCUGGGUAUACUGGCGGUCUUGAGCCACCUAGGGGCGAGCGGAACAAGCGGUGGAGCGGUGAAAUGCGUAGAUAUCGCGUGGAACGCCGACGGUGAAAACAGCUCGCUGGGGGUGUGCUGACGCUGAGACACGAAAGCCAGGGGAGCGAACGGG